GACGAACGCUGGCGGCGUGCCUAAUACAUGCAAGUGGGACGCAAGGAAACACACUGUGCUUGCACACCGUGUUUUCUUGAGUCGCGAACGGGUGAGUAACGCGUAGGUAACCUGCCUAUUAGCGGGGGAUAACUAUUGGAAACGAUAGCUAAUACCGCAUAAUAUUAAUUAUUGCAUGAUAAUUGAUUGAAAGAUGCAAGCGCAUCACUAGUAGAUGGACCUGCGUUGUAUUAGCUAGUUGGUAAGGUAAGAGCUUACCAAGGCGACGAUACAUAGCCGACCAGAGAGGGUGAUCGGCCACACUGGGACUGAGACACGGCCCAGACUCCUACGGGAGGCAGCAGUAGGGAAUCUUCGGCAAUGGACGAAAGUCUGACCGAGCAACGCCGCGUGAGUGAAGAAGGUUUUCGGAUCGUAAAGCUCUGUUGUAAGUCAAGAACGUGUGUGAGAGUGGAAAGUUCCACAGUGAC
rnacentral:rRNA from 1 species